ensembl:lncRNA
GAGCACAUGGGCUCCAGAGCGCACAGGCUCAGUAGCUCUGCACCAUGUGGGAUCUUAGAUCCCUGACCAGGGAUCAAAACCCCCAACCUUGCACUGCAAGGCUGAUUCUCCACCACUGGACCACCAGGGAAGUCCCUCUGACCACCUUGUAUAAGGACAGUUGCCCACCAUUAUUUCUAUCACAGGUGCCCAUUUUUUCCCUUCACAGACCUAAUCACAAUGUGUCAUUAUUUCACUUGAUUACUUCUUUCGCUGGGCUUCCCAGGUGGUGCUAAUGGUAAAGAACACCCCUGUCAAUGCAUGACACAUAAAAGCUGUGUGUUCAAUCCCAGACUCUGCAAGAUACCCUGGAGAAGGAAAUGGCAACCUACUCCAGUAGGACAGUGGAGCCUGGCAGGCUACAGUCCAUAGGGUCACAAAGAGUUAGACGCGACUAAGUGACUGAGCAUGCACACACACACACACACACACACACACACACACAAACACACACACUUCUUUUGUUAGGCUGUGAGCUCCACAAGUGUUAACCAGCCUAUCUGCAGAGUCCCACAUGGCGUUCAGCACACGGUAGAUACUUAAUAUACUUUCUGAAUAAAUAUGUUUUUUGAAUGUUUGAGCGGCUCAAAGAGCACCGACGGGCUUGCAAAGGGAGGACGCAUUCCACCAGAGAGGGAAAAAGCCUCUGCAGAACGCAGCAGUGGAGCAACAGCGCCACCAAGCGAUCAGCCACCAUUUCUCAAGGCAUCUGCUUCUCUUCAGAAAUCUUCGCAUUACGGGGCUGUUCCUGGAAUUUAAAGGGAUCAAACAUGAGUCUAUUGUGUCUCCUGCUGUGGUGAAGGAGGAAAUAGACAGAACAGGCUCUGUCUUGAAAGCAGAACUCCAUCUUGGGGUGGAUUGUGGACUUUGAGCUAUAUGCCCAGUAUCUAUGGAAACGACAUACCAACUGGAAAACCAGACCCCUCUGGUUUGAAGAGCCCCAAGGUGCGUACCUAGACUCUCCAUCACCUAAAAGAAUGCCCUAAUUAUCUGAUGUAACUGAAUAGAAUCAUAAAUUCUGUUAUGCUUAUUGGGGUAUGACCACAGGCCUAUUGAUAAUUGUCCACUGUUAACUACCUAGUCUUAAGGCAUAUGAAUCACAGGUUUAAGGCCUAUGAAUCACAGGUUAACUUUGAUUGUAUCUUUCCUUUGUUCAGACUAGUUUCAGAGAAUUUGGCCGGGGGAGGGGGCGGGGUUGAGCACGUACACUUAGGGUAUAUAUUCAGUUCAGUUCAUUUGCUCAGUUGUGUCUGACUCUUUGCGACCCCAUGAAUCGUAGCACGCCAGGCCUCCCUGUCCAUCACCAACUCCCGGAGUUCACUCAAACUCAUGUCCAUUGAGUUGGUGAUGCCAUCCAGCCAUCUCAUCCUCUGUCGUCCCCUUCUCCUCCUGCCCCCAAUCCCUCCCAGCAUCAGAGUCUUUUCCAAUGAGUCAACUCUUCGCAUGAGGUGGCCAAAGUACUAGAGUUUCAGCUUUAGCAUCAUUCCUUCCAAAGAAAUCCCAGGGCUGAUCUCCUUCAGAAUGGACUGGUUGGAUCUCCUUGCAGUCCAAGGGACUCUCAAGAGUCUUCUCCAACACCACAAUUCAAAAGCAUCAGUUCUUCGGCACUCAGCUUUCUUCACAGUGUAUAUAAGGUUUUCACAAAAAACUGGUCAGGUCCUUGGCUAAGAGGAGACUCUGCCUUGGGCCCACCAGUGUAAUAAACUGCACUCCACUAUCUGCAUUGUCCUUCGGAGUGAGUUUGUUUCCCGGAAUGCGUGGCUACAACAUUGGCAGGCAGACUCCUUAACCGCUCACCACUUGGGAGGCACCAAUGCACCAAUAAUUGUGAUCAGAAGUCUACAAGCAACUCCAGUUGUGAGUCUGGGUUUCCAGGUACCCUGCUCCCCUCUCCACUUCUCUUUAGACCCUUGUCCUUCACCUUCCUGCCCCGCUCCCCACUCACACACACACAUAGGAUCUCAUGCUUCUUCCAGAGAAUGGGUUUGGACCACGUGUAUGAUGAUCUGGAUGGGCGUGUCUCCUCAGUCACAAAAUCACAUCUUCACCCCCAACCUCUCUCCUACCCGCACCCCCCCCCCACCGCCGCCACUGCCCUGUUUCACAGUUAGAAUUCAGCUCAGAGUGAAACAAGCUGGCACCCAGGAGAUGGCUGCAGGCAGCACCUUUGCACAACCUGGACGCCCACUCCUCAGCAGAAAGAACCUUGGCAGUGCCAUAUGUCGGGGCUGCUAACGUUGCCAGCAAAAGAGGAGCUUUGUUCUAUUGUUGGGUUUGUUUUGAAAGGGAACAUAAAUAAUCCACACCCACUACUCCUUCCUCAGCAGUCUGGGCAGAGCUCGCUGGCAGGCCUUGUGGUGGCUCUGAGUGGCCUGAAUUGUUCCCACAACACAGCUAGGGACGAGAGCUGGCCUCGGCCACCAGAUGGGUGAAGUCUGAUGAACUGCCAACAGUAAAUAGUUCUCCUCUUGCUUUUCUCAUAUUUAAUCAUCAAAUGAGGUUUGUUUGUUUCAGAAACAAUCAUGUUUCCCUGUAGAAAUUCAGUAUCUUUGUUUUCACACGACCCUAAAAGCUUCUCACAGUCGAUGGGAGCAAUGGGUGUUCUUACCUUCUGGGCCAACUGUGUG